AGUCCCAGAUGAAGGUAUUGGCUCAUAAAUGAUGACGUGAGAGUAGUGGACAGAAGGGAUCUCCAAAAAACUAUUCUGAGGCU